rnacentral:rRNA from 1 species
GACGAACGCUGGCGGCGUGCUUAACACAUGCAAGUCGAACGAAGUGGCGAACGGGUGAGUAACGCGUAAUCAACCUGCCCUUCAGAGGGGGACAACAGUUGGAAACGACUGCUAAUACCGCAUACUGAAGGAGGGGAUUGAGUCUGAUUAGCUAGUUGGAGGGGUAACGGCCCACCAAGGCGAUGAUCAGUAGCCGGUCUGAGAGGAUGAACGGCCACAUUGGGACUGAGACACGGCCCAGACUCCUACGGGAGGCGGCAGUGGGGAAGCUUCCGCAAUGGACGAAAGUCUGACGGAGCAACGCCGCGUGAGUGAUGACGGCCUUCGGGUUGUAAAGCUCUGUUAAUCGGGACGCGGUACCGGAAUAGAAAGCCACGGCUAACUACGUGCCAGCAGCCGCGGUAAUAC